rnacentral:rRNA from 1 species
GGACGAACGCUGGCGGCGUGCUUACCCCAUGCAAGUCGAACGGAAAGGCUCCAGCUUGCUGGAGUACUCGAGUGGCGAACGGGUGAGUAACACGUGGGUGAUCUGCCCUGCACUUCGGGAUAAGCCUGGGAAACUGGGUCUAAUACCGGAUAGGACCGCACUUUGGUGUGUGUGGUGGAAAGGUUUUUCUGGUGUGGGAUGAGCUCGCGGCCUAUCAGUUUGUUGGUGGGGUAAUGGCCUACCAAGACGGCGACGGGUAGCCGGCCUGAGAGGGUGGACGGUCACAUUGGGACUGAGAUACGGCCCAGACUCCUACGGGAGGCAGCAGUGGGGAAUAUUGCACAAUGGGGGAAACCCUGAUGCAGCGACGCCGCGUGGGGGAUGAAGGCCUUCGGGUUGUAAACUCCUUUCGCUAGGGACGAAGCUUUUUGUGACGGUACCUGGAGAAGAAGCACCGGCUAACUACGUG